rnacentral:rRNA from 1 species
GGUGAACGCUGGCGGCGUGCUUAAGACAUGCAAGUCGAACGGCAGUCUUCGGACUGUAGUGGCGCACGGGUGAGUAACGCGUAACUGACCUACCCCAAAGUCGCGGAUAACGAUUCGAAAGAAUCGCUAAUACGUGAUGUGCUGUCAGAUUGUGUUCUGCCAGUAAAGAUUGAUUGCUUUGGGAUGGGGUUGCGUUCCAUCAGCUAGUUGGUGGGGUAAAGGCCCACCAAGGCGACGACGGAUAGCCGGCCUGAGAGGGUGGCCGGCCACAGGGGCACUGAGACACGGGUCCCACUCCUACGGGAGGCAGCAGUUAGGAAUCUUCCACAAUGGGCGAAAGCCUGAUGGAGCGACGCCGCGUGAGGGAUGAAGGUCUUCGGAUCGUAAACCUCUGAAUCAGGGACGAAAGACACUUCGGUGGGAUGACGGUACCUGAGUGACAGCACCGGCUAACUCCGUGCCAGCCGCCGCGGUAAUAC